UUUAAAAUGUGUGCCGGUGCCAUGGUCACUGCUGGUGUUUUCCUUGGACCUGUUGCCUCCUGUUUGGGCACCUCUUUUCACAACACAAUGAGCCCAUUGAUAUGGAUUGAGAUGAUGCUCAUUUUGUCUCAGGCCUCUAGCACUAGUGGUGUGGAUUGGAAAGCUGAUUACCCGAAGGUUGUUUUUACCAAUAAGGGAGAUGAUGUGACCAUUCCAUGCAAUUUUACCUCUCCCCCGUCCCCAUCUAAAGAGCCUAUCCAGGCCUACUGGAAACACCUGGGAAAUACUAAACUUAACAUCAAUGACAAUGACAAUAAUGAAUUCCUCUAUCACCCCAACAACACAUUUGUCAUCAAGAGUUUUCAGAACAGGACCAACAUGACAGGAAAUGUCACUAAGGGAAACUGCUCCCUGAACAUCAAGAGAAUUGACGAAGGCGACAUGGGGCCUGACUACUUGAGAAUUGCCACUGGAGCCAACAACUUCAGUUUUAUUACUGAACUUGUCCACAUUAUGGGGCGGCAGGGUAGCCUAGUGGUUAGAGCGUUGGACUAGUGACCGGAAGGUUGAGCUGACAAGGAACCUCCGGGACUAUUUCAAUCAUACCAAUGGACAAGUCAAACACAGAUGAACUAUUCAGCUUAGAAUUUUCACGUAUACACAGAAUUUUAACUGUUUGUCUACACCACAGGAGGUUGGUGGCACCUUCAUUGGGGAGGACAGGCUCGUGGUAAUGACUGAAGCAGAAUUAAUGGAAUGAUAUCAAAUACAUAACAUUUAAAUCAAAUCAAAUUUAUUUAUAUAGCCCUUCGUACAUCAGCGGAUAUCUCAAAGUGCUGUACAGAAACCCAGCCUAAAACCCCAAACAGCAAACAAUGCAGGUGUAGAAGCCCGGUGGCUAGGAAAAACUCCCUAGAAAGGCCAAAACCUAGGAAGAAACCUAGAGAGAAACCAGGCUAUGAGGGGUGGCCAGUCCUCUUCUGGCUGUGCCGGGUGGAGAUUAUAACAAAACAUGGCCAAGAUGUUCAAAUGUUCAUAAAUAACCAGCAUGGUCAAAUAAUAAUAAUCACAGUAGUUUUCGAGGAUGCAGCAAGUCAGCACCUCCAGGAGUAAAUGUCAGUUGGCUUUUCAUAGCCGAUCAUUAAGAGUAUCUCUACCACUCCUGCUGUCUCUAGAGAGUUGAAAACAGCAGGUCUGGGACAUAUAGCACAUCCGGUGAACAGGUUAGGAUUCCAUAGCCGCAGGCAGAACAGUUGAAACUGGAGCAGCAGCAUGGCCAGGUGGACUUGGGACAGUAAGGAGUCAUCAUGCCAGGUAGUCCUGAGGCAUGGUCCUAGGGCUCAGGUCCUCCGAGAGAGAGAAAGAAGAGAGAAUUAGAGAGAGCAUACUUAAAUUCACACAGGACACUGGAUAAGACAGGAGAAGUACUCCAGAUAUAACAAACUGACCCUAGCCCCCCGACACAUAAACUACUGCAGCAUAAAUACUGGAGGCUGAGACAGGAGGGGUCAGGAGACACUGUGGUCCCAUCCGAUGAUACCCCCGGACAGGGCCAAACACGAAGAUACAUCCAACACAUGGUUUCCAUUUGUUUGAUGCCAUUCCAUUUACUCCAUUCCAGCCAUUAUAAUGAACCGACCUCCACUCAGCAGCCUCCACUGAUCUACAUGCAUUACUCCAUAUUGAGAAAGAGAAAACAUAUUUUUUGAAAUGUAUGUAAAGUUAUUGAAAAUGAAAUACAGAAAUAUCUUUAUAUAUUCACACGCCUGAGUCAAUACAUGUUAGAAUCAGCUUUGGCAGUGAUUACAGCUGUGAGUCUUCCUGGGUAAGAGCUUUGCAUGCUUGCAUUGUACAAUAUUUGUAGAUAAUAUUUUUUUUCAUUCUUCAAGCUCAGUCCAGCUAGUUGUUGAUCCUUGCUAGACAGACAUUUUCAAGUCUUGCCAUAGAUUUUCAAGCCGACAAAACUUUAACUAGGCAACACAGGAACAUUCAAUGUUGUCAUGGUAAGCAACUCCAGAGUAUAUUUUGCCUUGUGUUUUAGGUUAUUGUCCUGCUGAAAGGUGAAUUUGUCUUCCCGUGUCUGGUGGAAAGCAGACUGAACCAGGUUUUCUUCUAGGAUUUUGCCUGCGCUUAUCUCUAUUCUGUUUAUUUUUAUCAACAAAAAAAACUCCCUAGUCCUUUCCGAUGACAAGCAUACCCAUAACAUGAUGCAGGCAACACAUUUCAGCUUUUCCAUCUUUAUUAAUUUGCAAACAUUUCUAAAAACAUAAUUCCACUUUGACAUUAUUGUGUAUAGGCCAGUGACACAAAAUCUCAAUUUAAUCAAUAAAAAAUUCAGACUGAAACACAACAAAAUGUGGAAAAAGUCAAGGGGUGGGAAUACUUUCUGAAGGCACUGUAUCCAUUUCAAAUCAAAUAUUUUGAGAGAGGGUCUCUUGAUUUUGCAUUGGGAGGCAGGUUGUCUAGCAGUUAAGAGUGUUGGGCUGGUAACCAAAAGGUUGGUAGUUUGAAUCCUUGAGCUGUGAAAUAUCUGUUGAUGUGCCCUUGAGCAAGGCACUUAACCAUAGUUGCUCUGGAUAAAAGUGUUGACUAAAAUGUAAAAAAAAUAUUAAUUCAAAUGAGUAAUGGAAUGAAUAAAUAUUCCUCAGUCCUAAUCAGAAUGUUUUUCACAGUGUGUGAGGAAGCGCCAUCCACGACCAUAUAUAUUGCCACCACGGUCCCAGUGGUUGCAGUUCUACUGGUUGCUGUAUUGGGGAUUGUUUGGUUCUUCAAGUACAGGAAAAGGUCCAGGUGUGUCACUAUGCAAGUGUCUGGAUAUUAUGCUAAUUUCACCAUGACUCCAAUGGCCAAACCUGAAAGAGUCAAAACUACAAAGAAAGAUGAGACCCAAGUUCCUCCUCCAAGGGUCAUCGAUGAGCCCGUCUAUGGCAACGUCCAGGAUCCAAACGAUCCGAUGGACAGUAUGGAUCAAAUGGACAGUGUAUAUGCAAAUGUGGAUCUCAGAUUUCGUCACUGCUUAAUAAUACUUGUUGAGUGUGUGCUCGCGUGUGUUUUUAUCUUGAUUGUUUUCUUGUCAAAAGGCAGUUUACAGUGUCAGCCUUCAUUUCUCACAUCCUGUUUGACUUUCACUUGGUUAGACAAUAUUAUGUGCAGCUUGUUUGUUAAAUGUAAAAUACAUAGUUCAGUAUGUAACUAUUUUUGAAAGGACUGGCUUUCAAAUAAACAUACUUACUGAGAUGAUAUGCUACCGGUUGUUUGAUUCAAUAUCAAAACAAUUCACACAAAAACAGCUCUUGCAGUCCUAUAUUGAUAAGCAUUCACAACUAAACAUAAUGUUUGUGCUGAGUUGGACAGAAACAUAAUGUCAAAAAACUAUGUUUUUUGACAAAGGCUUUCUGGGUAGUCAUGAGUGAAUGAA